AACUGGGAUUACCUUAGUAACGGCGAGUGAAGCGGUAAAAGCUCAAAUUUGAAAUCUGGUACUUUUAGUGCCCGAGUUGUAAUUUGUAGAAUUUGUCUUUGAUUAGGUCCUUGUCUAUGUUCCUUGGAACAGGACGUCAUAGAGGGUGAGAAUCCCGUUUGGCGAGGAUACCUUUUCUCUGUAAGACUUUUUCGAAGAGUCGAGUUGUUUGGGAAUGCAGCUCAAAGUGGGUGGUAAAUUCCAUCUAAAGCUAAAUAUUGGCGAGAGACCGAUAGCGAACAAGUACAGUGAUGGAAAGAUGAAAAGAACUUUGAAAAGAGAGUGAAAAAGUACGUGAAAUUGUUGAAAGGGAAGGGCAUUUGAUCAGACAUGGUGUUUUUUUAAUGUGCAAGUCUCUCGUGGACAUGUGCCUCUGGAAAUCAACACUGGGCCAACAUCAGUUCUGGCGGCAGGAUAAAUCAUUAAGAAUGUAGCUACCUCGGUAGUGUUAUAGCUUUUUGGAAUACUGCCAGCUGGGAUUGAGGACUGCGCUUCGGCAAGGAUGUUGG
rnacentral:rRNA from 1 species